rnacentral:rRNA from 1 species
GACGAACGCUGGCGGCGUGCCUAAUACAUGCAAGUAGAACGCUGAAGAGAGGAGCUUGCUCUUCUUGGAUGAGUUGCGAACGGGUGAGUAACGCGUAGGUAACCUGCCUGGCAGCGGGGGAUAACUAUUGGAAACGAUAGCUAAUACCGCAUAAAAUUGCUUAUCGCAUGAUAAUUAAUUGAAAGAUGCAAUUGCAUCACUACCAGAUGGACCUGCGUUGUAUUAGCUAGUUGGUGAGGUAACGGCUCACCAAGGCGACGAUACAUAGCCGACCUGAGAGGGUGAUCGGCCACACUGGGACUGAGACACGGCCCAGACUCCUACGGGAGGCAGCAGUAGGGAAUCUUCGGCAAUGGGGGGAACCCUGACCGAGCAACGCCGCGUGAGUGAAGAAGGUUUUCGGAUCGUAAAGCUCUGUUGUAAGAGAAGAAACGGGUGUGAGAGUGGAAAAGUUCACACUGUGACCGGUAUUU